CACGUAGGCGGAUAUUUAAGUCAGGGGUGAAAUCCCAGAGCUCAACUCUGGAACUGCCUUUGAUACUGGGUAUCUUGAGUAUGGAAGAGGUAAGUGGAAUUCCGAGUGUAGAGGUGAAAUUCGUAGAUAUUCGGAGGAACACCAGUGGCGAAGGCGGCUUACUGGUCCAUUACUGACGCUGAGGUGCGAAAGCGUGGGAAGCAAACA
rnacentral:rRNA from 1 species